AUACUACCAAGAUAUGGUUAGAAAAAAAGUAAUUAUACAGGGAAAAUUAGCAUGGCCCCCUCACAGGAUGACACACAAUUUCAUGAAGCAUUCUGUAUUUUA
ensembl:snRNA U6 U6 spliceosomal RNA